AUCCUCUUCUCCAAUUAUUUUAAUUUUUAGCUUCUAUUAGAAUGGGAACUGGAAGUGAGUUUGACUCAAUGGUUGUCGCAACAAAAAAUGGAAUCAAUGCACCAUCGUCUCCGAGGGAAAAUAUGUGUCUUAGUUUGAUUGAACCUCAUGUUAAGGAUAAAGCAUCUUCUGAAGAAUUGAACAUGAUUUGACUCAAUACGUAGACACAUUAUCCCAGAGGAUGAAAUAUCAUAUAGGUUAUCCACUUAACCUUUAUUAUGAGCAUCAUGCUGCUUUAGCCCCACUCUUGCAAUUUCAUUUGAACAAUUUUGGAGACCCCUUUACUCAGCACCCUACAGAUUUCCAUUCAAAAGAUUUUGAAGUGGCUGUUUUAGAUUGGUUUGCACAACUCUGGGAAAUUGAGAAAGAUGAAUAUUGGGGAUACAUUACUAGUGGUGGCACUGAGGGCAAUCUCCAUGGCCUUUUGGUUGGG